CCUACGUGCGGCAGCAGUGGGGAAUAUUGCACAAUGGGGGAAACCCUGAUGCAGCGACGCCGCGUGAGUGAAGAAGUAUCUCGGUACGUAAAGCUCUAUCAGCCGGGAAGAAAAUGACGGUACCUGACUAAGAAGCCCCGGCUAACUACGUGCCAGCAGCCGCGGUAAUACGUAGGGGGCAAGCGUUAUCCGGAUUUACUGGGUGUAAAGGGAGCGUAGACGGGAGCACAAGUCUGGAGUGAAAUCCCGGGGCCUAACCCCGGAACUGCUGUGGAAACUGGGCGGCUGGAGUGCAGGAGGGGUAAGCGGAAUUCCUGGUGUAGCAGUGAAAUGCGUAGAUAUUAGGAGGAACACCGGUGGCGAAGGCGGCUUACUGGACUGUAACUGACGUUGAGGCUCGAAAGCGUGGGGAGCGAACAGGAUUAGAUACCCGGGUAGUC
rnacentral:rRNA from 1 species